rnacentral:rRNA from 1 species
AUUGAACGCUGGCGGCAGGCCUAACACAUGCAAGUCGAGCGGAGCGGCGGACGGGUGAGUAAUGCCUAGGAAUCUGCCUGGUAGUGGGGGAUAACGUCCGGAAACGGGCGCUAAUACCGCAUACUAUCAGAUGAGCCUAGGUCGGAUUAGCUAGUUGGUGGGGUAAAGGCCUACCAAGGCGACGAUCCGGAACUGGUCUGAGAGGAGGAGCAGUCACACGGGAACUGAGACACGGUCCAGGCUCCUACGGGAGGCAGCAGUGGGGAAUAGUGGGCAAUGGGCGAAAGCAUGGUCCAGCCAUGCCGCGUGUGUGAAGAAGGUCUUCGGAUUGUAAAGCACUUUAAGUUGGGAGGCGUUACCGAAAGAAUAGGCACCGGCUAACUUCGUGACAGAAGCCGCGGUAAUUC